AGUGAACGCUGGCGGUAGGCCUAACACAUGCAAGUCGAACGGCAGCACAGUAAGAGCUUGCCCUUACGGGUGGCGAGUGGCGGACGGGUGAGGAAUACAUCGGAAUCUACUUUUUCGUGGGGGAUAACGUAGGGAAACUUACGCUAAUACCGCAUACGACCUACGGGUGGAAGCAGGGGAUCUUCGGACCUUGCGCGAUUGAAUGAGCCGAUGUCGGAUUAGCUAGUUGGCGGGGUAAAGGCCCACCAAGGCGACGAUCCGUAGCUGGUCUGAGAGGAUGAUCAGCCACACUGGAACUGAGACACGGUCCAGACUCCUACGGGAGGCAGCAGUGGGGAAUAUUGGACAAUGGGCGCAAGCCUGAUCCAGCCAUACCGCGUGGGUGAAGAAGGCCUUCGGGUUGUAAAGCCCUUUUGUUGGGAAAGAAAAGCAGCAGGUUAAUACCCCGCUGUUCUGACGGUACCCAAAGAAUAAGCACCGGCUAACUUCGUG
rnacentral:rRNA from 1 species